rnacentral:lncRNA from 1 species
AAAAAUCUCAAAAAAAUAAUAAAAAUAAAAUCCUAAAGAAAUAUCAAAGAAAUAUUUAAAAAUAAUAUUAAAAAAAAAUCUAAAUGAAUCUUAAUCAAAUCUUAAUGUAACCCUAAUAAAAUCCUAAACAAAUCCUAAACCAACCUCAACCAAAUCUUAAACUAAUCCUAAAUUCUAACCAAAUCCUAAACAAACCUUAAUAAAAUCCUAACCAAAUCCUUAACAAACCUUUAUGAAAUCCUAACCAAACCCUAAACAAAUCAAGUUAACUUGUGUUUUUCACACCACAU